rnacentral:rRNA from 1 species
GACGAACCGUGCGAACGUUAUUCGGAAUCAUUGGGCGUAAAGAGCGUGUAGGCGGCCCGGUAAGUCCGCUGUGAAAGUCCAGGGCUCAACCCUGGGAUGCCGGUGGAUACUGUCGGGCUCGAGUCCGGAAGAGGAGUGUGGAAUUCCUGGUGUAGCGGUGAAAUGCGCAGAUAUCAGGAGGAACACCAAUGGCGAAGGCAGCACUCUGGGACGUGACUGACGCUGAGACGCGAAAGCGUGGGGAGCAAACAGG